rnacentral:rRNA from 1 species
CCUACGGGCGGCAGCAGUGAGGAAUAUUGGUCAAUGGGCUUACGCCUGAACCAGCCAAGUCGCGUGAGGGAAGACUGCCCUAUGGGUUGUAAACCUCUUUUGUCAGGGAGCAACGCCGGCUACGUGUAGCCGGACUGAGAGUACCUGAGUAAGAAGCCCCGGCUAACUACGUGCCAGCAGCCGCGGUAAUACGUAGGGGGCAAGCGUUAUCCGGAUUUACUGGGUGUAAAGGGAGCGUAGACGGCAUGGCAAGUCUGAAGUGAAAGCCCGGGGCUCAACCGCGGGACUGCUUUGGAAACUGUUAAGCGGGAGUGCAGGAGAGGUAAGUGGAAUUCCUGGUGUAGCGGUGAAAUGCGUAGAUAUUAGGAGGAACACCAGUGGCGAAGGCGGCUUACUGGACUGUAACUGACGUUGAGGCUCGAAAGCGUGGGGAGCAAACAGGAUUAGAUACCCGAGUAGUC